GGAGAGGUGGCUGAGUGGCCGAAAGCAGUCGCCUGCUAAGCGAUUGAGGGGCCAAAAGCCCCUCCCUGGGUUCAAAUCCCAGCCUCUCCGCCA
rnacentral:tRNA from 1 species